rnacentral:rRNA from 1 species
GACGAACGCUGGCGGCGUGCCUAAUACAUGCAAGUGAAGUUCAGUGGCGGACGGGUGAGUAACACGUGGGUAACUACCCAUCAGAGGGGGAUAACUACUGGAAACGGUAGCUAAUACCGCAUACUAUCGGAUAACCCAUAUGGGAUUCGCUAGUUGGUGAGGUAAUGGCUCACCAAGGCGACGAUCCCUAGCUGGUCUGAGAUGAUGAUCAGCCACACUGGGACGGAGACACGACCCAGACUCCUACGGAGGCAGCAGUGGGGAAUAUUGCACAAUGGGCGCAAGCCUGAUGCAGCCAUGCCGCGUGUAUGAAGAAGGCCCUAGGGUUGUAAAGUACUUUCAGUCGGGAGGCGUUACCGACAGAAGAAGCACUGGCUAACUCCGUGCCAGCAGCCGCGGUAAUAC